rnacentral:rRNA from 1 species
UACGGGGGGGGCAAGCGUUGUUCGGAAUUACUGGGCGUAAAGGGCUCGUAGGUGGCCAACUAAGUCAGACGUGAAAUCCCUCGGCUUAACCGGGGAACUGCGUCUGAUACUGGAUGGCUUGAGGUUGGGAGAGGGAUGCGGAAUUCCAGGUGUAGCGGUGAAAUGCGUAGAUAUCUGGAGGAACACCGGUGGCGAAGGCGGCAUCCUGGACCGACAUUGACGCUGAGGCGCGAAAGCCAGGGGAGCAAACGGG